CCUACGGGUGGCUGCAGUGGGGAAUAUUGGACAAUGGGGGCAACCCUGAUCCAGCCAUGCCGCGUGUGUGAAGAAUGCCCUCGGGUUGUAAAGCACUUUCAGUGAGGAAGAACGCCUGGUGGUUAAUACCCAUCAGGAAAGACAUCACUCACAGAAGAAGCACCGGCUAACUCCGUGCCAGCAGCCGCGGUAAUACGGAGGGUGCGAGCGUUAAUCGGAAUUACUGGGCGUAAAGCGCGCGUAGGUGGCUUGAUAAGCCGGUUGUGAAAGCCCCGGGCUCAACCUGGGAACGGCAUCCGGAACUGUCAAGCUAGAGUGCAGGAGAGGAAGGUAGAAUUCCCGGUGUAGCGGUGAAAUGCGUAGAGAUCGGGAGGAAUACCAGUGGCGAAGGCGGCCUUCUGGACUGACACUGACACUGAGGUGCGAAAGCGUGGGUAGCAAACAGGAUUAGAUACCCUAGUAGUC
rnacentral:rRNA from 1 species